rnacentral:tRNA from 1 species
AGGCGGGUAACUCAGUUCGAUGUUAGAGUGUCAGUCUUAUAAGCUGGAAGUCGGGGGUUCAACUCUCUCCCCGCCUACCA